rnacentral:ncRNA from 1 species
AUCAGGCCGAACCUCGUUUGGUCGGGCCGGCGCCAGCCUCCCCGUUUGGCGAACCCGGUCCCGGCGCCCGUCGAUAACCGGGUGCCGCG